UACGUAGGGUGCAAGCGUUGUCCGGAAUUAUUGGGCGUAAAGAGCUCGUAGGCGGUUUGUCGCGUCUGCUGUGAAAACUCGGGGCUUAACUCCGGGCCUGCAGUGGGUACGGGCAGACUAGAGUGCGGUAGGGGAGACUGGAAUUCCUGGUGUAGCGGUGAAAUGCGCAGAUAUCAGGAAGAACACCCGUGGCGAAAGCGGCUCUCUAGGACGGUACUGACGCUGAGACGCGAAAGCGUGGGGAGCGAACAGG
rnacentral:rRNA from 1 species